rnacentral:rRNA from 1 species
UACGUAGGGUGCGAGCGUUGUCCGGAAUUAUUGGACGUAAAGGGCUCGUAGGCGGUCUGUCGCGUCGGGAGUGAAAACUCAGGGCUUAACCCUGAGCCUGCUUCCGAUACGGGCAGACUAGAGGUAUGCAGGGGAGAACGGAAUUCCUGGUGUAGCGGUGGAAUGCGCAGAUAUCAGGAGGAACACCGGUGGCGAAGGCGGUUCUCUGGGCAUUACCUGACGCUGAGGAGCGAAAGUGUGGGGAGCGAACAGG